rnacentral:rRNA from 1 species
AGUGAACGCUGGCGGUAGGCCUAACACAUGCAAGUCGAGCGGCAGCACAGCAAGAGCUUGCUCUUACGGGUGGCGAGUGGCGGACGGGUGAGGAAUACAUCGGAAUCUACUUUUUCGUGGGGGAUAACGUAGGGAAACUUACGCUAAUACCGCAUACGACCUACGGGUGAAAGCAGGGGAUCUUCGGACCUUGCGCGAUUGAAUGAGCCGAUGUCGGAUUAGCUAGUUGGCGGGGUAAAGGCCCACCAAGGCGACGAUCCGUAGCUGGUCUGAGAGGAUGAUCAGCCACACUGGAACUGAGACACGGUCCAGGCUCCUACGGGAGGCAGCAGUGGGGAAUAUUGGACAAUGGGCGCAAGCCUGAUCCAGCCAUACCGCGUGGGUGAAGAAGGCCUUCGGGUUGUAAAGCCCUUUUGUUGGGAAAGAAAAGCAGCAGGUUAAUACCCCGCUGUUCUGACGGUACCCAAAGAAUAAGCACCGGCUAACUUCGUG